AGGUGAACCUGCGGAAGGAUCAUUACCGAGUUGAUUCGAGCUCCGGCUCGACUCUCCCACCCCAUGUGUACCUACCUCUGUUGCUUUGGCGGGCCGCGGUCCUCCGCACCGACCCCCGUUCGGGGGCCGGCCAGCGCCCGCCAGAGGACCACAAAACUCCAGUCAGUAAACGUCGCAGUCUGAGAAACAAGUCAAUAAACUAAAACUUUCAACAACGGAUCUCUUGGUUCUGGCAUCGAUGAAGAACGCAGCGAAAUGCGAUAAGUAAUGUGAAUUGCAGAAUUCAGUGAAUCAUCGAAUCUUUGAACGCACAUUGCGCCCCUUGGUAUUCCGAGGGGCAUGCCUGUUCGAGCGUCAUUUCAACCCUCAAGCUCUGCUUGGUAUUGGGCUCCGUCCUCCGCGGACGCGCCUCGAAGACCUCGGCGGUGGCGUCUUGCCUCAAGCGUAGUAGAAAACACCUCGCUUUGGAGCGCACGGCGUCGCCCGCCGGACGAACCUUUGAAUUUUUCUCAAGGUUGACCUCGGAUCAGAGUCAG
rnacentral:rRNA from 1 species